GCUUAACACAUGCAAGUCGAGGGGCAGCAUUUUAGUUUGCUUGCAAACUGAAGAUGGCGACCGGCGCACGGGUGAGUAACACGUAUCCAACCUGCCGAUAACUCCGGGAUAGCCUUUCGAAAGAAAGAUUAAUACCGGAUAGUAUACGAAUAUCGCAUGAUAUUUUUAUUAAAGAAUUUCGGUUAUCGAUGGGGAUGCGUUCCAUUAGUUUGUUGGCGGGGUAACGGCCCACCAAGACUACGAUGGAUAGGGGUUCUGAGAGGAAGGUCCCCCACAUUGGAACUGAGACACGGUCCAAACUCCUACGGGAGGCAGCAGUGAGGAAUAUUGGUCAAUGGGCGCGAGCCUGAACCAGCCAAGUAGCGUGAAGGAUGAAGGCUCUAUGGGUCGUAAACUUCUUUUAUAUGGGAAUAAAGUUUUCCACGUGUGGAAUUUUGUAUGUACCAUAUGAAUAAGGAUCGGCUAACUCCGUGCCAGCAGCCGCGGUAAUACGGAGGAUCCGAGCGUUAUCCGGAUUUAUUGGGUUUAAAGGGAGCGUAGGUGGAUUGUUAAGUCAGUUGUGAAAGUUUGCGGCUCAACCGUAAAAUUGCAGUUGAAACUGGCAGUCUUGAGUACAGUAGAGGUGGGCGGAAUUCGUGGUGUAGCGGUGAAAUGCUUAGAUAUCACGAAGAACUCCGAUUGCGAAGGCAGCUCACUAGACUGUCACUGACACUGGUGCUCGAAAGUGUGGGUAUCAAACAGGAUUAGAUACCCUGGUAGUCCACACAGUAAACGAUGAAUACUCGCUGUUUGCGAUAUACAGUAAGCGGCCAAGCGAAAGCAUUAAGUAUUCCACCUGGGGAGUACGCCGGCAACGGUGAAACUCAAAGGAAUUGACGGGGGCCCGCACAAGCGGAGGAACAUGUGGUUUAAUUCGAUGAUACGCGAGGAACCUUACCCGGGCUUAAAUUGCAACAGAAUAUAUUGGAAACAGUAUAGCCGUAAGGCUGUUGUGAAGGUGCUGCAUGGUUGUCGUCAGCUCGUGCCGUGAGGUGUCGGCUUAAGUGCCAUAACGAGCGCAACCCUUAUCUUUAGUUACUAACAGGUUAUGCUGAGGACUCUAGAGAGACUGCCGUCGUAAGAUGUGAGGAAGGUGGGGAUGACGUCAAAUCAGCACGGCCCUUACGUCCGGGGCUACACACGUGUUACAAUGGGGGGUACAGAAGGCGGCUACCUGGUGACAGGAUGCUAAUCCCAAAAACCUCUCUCAGUUCGGAUCGAAGUCUGCAACCCGACUUCGUGAAGCUGGAUUCGCUAGUAAUCGCGCAUCAGCCAUGGCGCGGUGAAUACGUUCCCGGGCCUUGUACACACCGCCCGUCAAGCCAUGAAAGCCGGGGGUACCUGAAGUACGUAACCGCAAGGAGCGUCCUAGGGUAAAACUGGUAAUUGGGG
rnacentral:rRNA from 1 species